GUGAUUCAAUGAUGUGGAAUAUUUAUUAAGCUGAGUCUCAGCGAUAACAGUGAUGAAAAACCUUUUAAAUCAUAAAAGAUAGUAAAUUUAAUUUUCUACUUGACUCUUUUAAUGGAUUGCUUGUUCCGCUGCAGUUAAACUUGAUGUCUAUUAUAUUUUAUCAGUUUAACAUUGUUGGAGACUAAUGAUAAUUUAUUCUGCAUUAUCUUAGUCAUAAUAUUUCUUACUGGGCUAGUUGAGCUCACCAUUUCUUUCACUGUUCUCUUCAGGAAAUG
rnacentral:lncRNA from 1 species